AAUGAACGCUGGCGGCGUGGAUUAGGCAUGCAAGUCGAACGCGAAAGUUCCCUUCGGGGAGCGAGUAGAGUGGCGAAAGGGUGAGUAAUGCUUGGAUGACCUGCCCUCGAGACGGGGACAACAGUUCGAAAGGACUGCUAAUACCCGAUAGUCCGGUUUAGAUGCGUCUAGAUCGGUAAAUGGUGCUUCCGCUCGAGGAGGGGUUCAAGUCCUAUCAGCUUGUUGGUGAGGUAACGGCUCACCAAGGCGAUGACGGGUAGCCGGACUGAGAGGUUGGCCGGCCACAUGGGAACUGAGACACUGUCCUGACUCCUACGGGAGGCUGCAGUCGGGAAUAUUGCUCAAUGGGCGAAAGCCUGAAGCAGCAACGCCGCGUGUGCGAUGAAGGCCUCGGUC
rnacentral:rRNA from 1 species